rnacentral:rRNA from 1 species
GACGAACGCUGGCGGCGUGCUUAACACAUGCAAGUCGAACGGAAAGGCCCUGCUUUUGUGGGGUGCUCGAGUGGCGAACGGGUGAGUAACACGUGAGUAACCUGCCCUUGACUUUGGGAUAACUUCAGGAAACUGGGGCUAAUACCGGAUAGGAGCUCCUGCUGCAUGGUGGGGGUUGGAAAGUUUCGGCGGUUGGGGAUGGACUCGCGGCUUAUCAGCUUGUUGGUGGGGUAGUGGCUUACCAAGGCUUUGACGGGUAGCCGGCCUGAGAGGGUGACCGGCCACAUUGGGACUGAGAUACGGCCCAGACUCCUACGGGAGGCAACAGUGGGGAAUAUUGCACAAUGGGCGGAAGCCUGAUGCAGCAACGCCGCGUGCGGGAUGACGGCCUUCGGGUUGUAAACCGCUUUCGCCUGUGACAAAGCGUGAGUGACGGUAAUGGGUAAAGAAGCACCGGCUAACUACGUG